ensembl:lncRNA
CUCGGCCCUUCCACGGUUGUCCAGACAAUAUUGAGAAGCGCUCGGGGUCAGGACUCACCACACAAAUGCUUAAACACACGCUUUCUCUCCCAGCCAGAGCACCUGGAAACUCAAGGAUGACAGAAACGAGAGAAGGAGAAGGUGCUCUAACCUUGACAUGCCGGAGCCCACACUUCCAGCUCCCUUCUCCAUCCAGAUAAGACCUAGGAUCUGAAGAAGAACCCUUUUCUCUAUGAAGGCUAAGAACUUAAAAGGAAACACAGGAUGGCAUUUUCCUGAUCCCAAACUGAAAUGAGAGGACUGUCAAUUGGAUCAUCCACCCUGCCAAGACCACUUCUGGAGUUGCUGUUCUGAGCCACCUAGACGAACGCACAGGCCAGCCCCCGGAACCUGCUCUUCAUUUGCCUUCCAUGCCCAACUUGAACCAGUGAUUUGUUAUGCUUUUUCUUCUCGUUCAGUGCCCACUAUGGAACAAUGGCAGAAUGACAUGAUUGGAACGGAAUGUAGCAAUCAUCUUAUCUGACCGCACGGAUACCUGCCAGGAGAGGAAUGCCUCACUUCCUCGUGAUGAUUUUGAAGACUUUCUGAGAAGGCAC